UUUCCGUAGGUGAACCUGCGGAAGGAUCAUUAUUGAAUAACCGAAGUGCGAGGGCUGUCGCAGACCCGAAAGGUUGCGCACGCACGAGUCCUCUCACACACAUCCAUCUUACCCCUAUGUGCUCCACCGGGUGGGCCCCCCUUUGGCCUGUUGGUGGGGGGGCUUACGUCUUUACACCUAUUUUGAAUGUAGUGCUGAAUGUGUUUUUUGUAUUUUAGAUCACGCCUUCAAAACACCUUUCAACAACGUCUCUCUUGGCUCUAGCACCGAGGAAGAAGG
rnacentral:misc_RNA from 1 species